GAUUGGGCCCACAACUUGGGCAUGCGUCCUGACUGGGAAUCGAACUGGCGACCUCUUGGUGCAUGGGUCAACACUCAACCACUGAGCCACAUCAGCCAGACAUGACCGGAAUCUUAAAAGCUAUCAGUGGUAAAUGUUCAUCAGAAAACUUAAAUUGGCCCCUCCCACAGAGGCUCCUUGUCACUGCUUACGUGUCACUAUCAGAGAGGCCUUCUUUGACCAUGCUGUAACAUAGAGACCACUACUGCCUGCUUCCCUCGUUUUCUUCAUUGCACUAAUCGUCACCCAACCUAGCACCACUUAGGUCUCUCCAUUGUACUGAAGACCACUGAGCGCAGGAGCUGGAUAGUAGAGGAAGAGAAAGAGAAGGAGAGAAACAUCUACGUGAAAGGGAC